rnacentral:rRNA from 1 species
UUCGAUACCCUACGUGGUGCUACGUCCGUAACUGCUCAGCAGCUCAGCGUCUAGAGGGGUUACGCCCCUUAGCUCUGCAGCUACUCGCAUUAAGCACUCCGCCAAGGGGAGUACGGCCGGCAAGGCUGAGAGUCAACACGAAAUGACGAGGGGACCGCACAAGCGGUGGAGCAUGUGCUUUAAUUCGAAGCAACGCGAAGAAUCUUACCAAGUCUUGACAUCCUCUGACAGCCCUAGAGAUAGGGCUCUCCCCUUCGGGGGACAGAGUGACAGGUGGUGCAUGGUUGUCGUCAGCUCGUGUCCUGAGAUGUUGGGUUAAGUCCCGCAACGAGCGCAACCCUUGAUCUUAGUUGCCAGCAUUCAGUUGGGCACUCUAAGGUGACUGCCGGUGACAAACCGGAGGAAGGUGGGGAUGACGUCAAAUCAUCAUGCCCCUUAUGACCUGGGCUACACACGUGCUACAAUGGAUGGUACAAAGGGCUGCAAACCUGCGAAGGUAAGCGACUCCCAUAAAGCCAUUCUCAGUUCGGAUUGCAGGCUGCAACUCGCCUGCAUGAAGCCGGAAUCGCUAGUAAUCGCGGAUCAGCAUGCCGCGGUGAAUACGUUCCCGGGCCUGGUACACACCGCCCGUCACUCCACGAGAGUUUGUAACACCCGAAGUCGGUGAGGU